AAAAGUUAGUGACUGUGUAGUCACAUAAAGCCUCAAAAAUGUAAACCAUAUGUACCCAACUCAGCAAUAUCAGUAACUCUACAGAAACUCUGGAACGAUGGCUCUGACAGAUGUGACCUCCCCAUUCAUCUCAGGAAAAUAUUAACUGUCAAUGGAUAUCUGUGUUAAAAUUGCCAUUUAAACUAAUUGCAUUGCUCCUGUAAGAACGGAGAGGAACACAGAUCUGCAGUUCACCGUGAGUAACAUCUCACAGUGCUAAAAAAAAUGGUGGUAUUUGAAAGAUAUCACCACUUCUUUCCCCUUAAUUAAAAGGCACCAUGCCAAAGAAGCCCAAUGGAGCCUCGGAGCAUAUUCAAGUCCUAGUAAGGGGAAGCCAAACUUAGUGGAGCUCAUAGCAUCUACACGAUCAACUGUAAAAGAGCAGCUUACAUGGGUGAAGUUUAUUUUGCAGGCAGAGCUGCCAAGAGCAUUACUAUUUUCCUCCUCUCCCCCUUCCAGAUGCAUGUAUAGAUUGAAAGAGUGGCAGCAAGAAAAAAGUGAAUAUAAAAUAAAAACACUACUUCCAUUACUUUUCAUCAUAUUUAAUUCAAUUUACGUUUAUCCAACUGAGUUUUUUUUCAGUGUAGUGCAGUUCAGUGCUGCACAAGCCAAGGAGUUCUGCCACAUAAUUUAAGACUGAAUUGCUAUAGAGGACCUUGGAAAGAGGACAUGAAGGUGAGAGUUAGGACUU